ensembl:lncRNA
GACAGGAAUAAAGAAAGCAAAGUACAGAGAGAUGAGGGGAGCACCAGGAGGAAAGAGAGGGACAAUGGGAAUCAGUGAAGACGGUUUCAAGGAGAGGUGAGAUUGAGGUGAGGAGAGAUACGGGUAAGGGGGAAGAGAAGAGAUGGAGGGGUGAUGGUAAAAUGAGAGGGGGGAAGUAGAGGGAUGAGCAGAGAACGAUUGGAGAGUUGAGGGAGGGGUGAAGGAGAAUGAAAUGAGGAAUGGAGGGGUGAGGAGAGAAUGAUAGGAUGUAGAUUGAUGAGGGGAGCUGGAGGUUUGGGGAGAACGAGAGGAGAGAUCGAGGGGUGAGGGGAGAACGAGAAGGCGAGAUGGAAGAAUGAGUGAGGGGAGAAGGGAGACAGGGAAAGUGGAAAGAUUGAGAGAGAAAUGAAAGGGAUGGGAAGAAAGAAGGAUGGUUGCAUGGAUGAAAGGAGGUUGGGAGGAGAGAGAGAGCGUUAUGGAAGGAGGAAAAGAUGAGAGGAGCUGGAUGAGAGGAAGGCAUGUGCUGAAAUGUGAGAUAUGGGCUGUGAGGAACACUAGGAAGAGAAGGAUAUUAUUACACAGAGGGAAGUAAAGGAUUAUUACACAGAGCGUGGAAAAGAAGAAACAAAUGAUCUGCAGCAUAACCUGGACUCAGAGAGAGAGAGAGAGAGAGAGAGAGAUGAAUAGUGGAAGAUAAAAGUGCAGUAAAGGUUUAUGGGACAUGAGGUGGAGGAGUAUGAUGGAGAGGGGUGAAGGACAAAACCAGCCAUCCAUAUGUGCAGCUAACACGCACACACACACACACACACACACACGGCAGCUUCUAUAGACCAUAAAACACAAGAGUGCUUCCUUACGCAUUUUCUCUCUCUCCACUGACCUCCAUUUUGUUCUGCAGAUUAAGGAACUCUACUCUGUGGUUCCGUCUCAAAUUGCCUCACUGUACACUAUGUACUUCACUAUCUAGUGCCUCAGUAUGUGUUGCUAACAUCAGAACCGGAGACAUU